GACGAACGCUGGCGGCGUGCUUAACACAUGCAAGUCGAACGAAGUCUUCGGACUUAGUGGCGGACGGGUGAGUAACACGUGGGAACGUGCCCUUUGGUACGGAAUAACUCAGGGAAACUUGAGCUAAUACCGUAUGUGCCCUUCGGGGGAAAGAUUUAUCGCCAUUGGAGCGGCCCGCGUCUGAUUAGCUAGUUGGUGAGGUAAAGGCUCACCAAGGCGACGAUCAGUAGCUGGUCUGAGAGGAUGAUCAGCCACAUUGGGACUGAGACACGGCCCAAACUCCUACGGGAGGCAGCAGUGGGGAAUCUUGCGCAAUGGGCGAAAGCCUGACGCAGCCAUGCCGCGUGAAUGAUGAAGGUCUUAGGAUUGUAAAAUUCUUUCACCGGGGACGAUAAUGACGGUACCCGGACAAGAAGCCCCGGCUAACUUCGUGCCAGCAGCCGCCGUAAAAC
rnacentral:rRNA from 1 species